AAACACAUGAAUGCUCUCAAAGGGGUUACUAAGGAAACCAGAAACUAUGGUAACCUAGACUAGAAGCACUCUUAUUUAUCCAAGGAGAGGGAAAGGAAAAUUCAGGCAGUGCAUACUGCAGUCACACUGAAGGUCCUGAUCUUUCCUUUUAGAUGCGGCAGAUCUUCAGUUUCUCAGCAGACAUCAUGCCUUGCAGAAACAUCACUAUUCAUGUAGAUGAAUGUAAAUGCAGGGGAUGAGAGAAUGCUUUUUUAAGGCAAAGUUGUGAAGAGUUGUGUCAUUUCUGUAAAAGAAAAAGUAGGAGGAGAAUGAGAAAGAUUUUUCUACGAAGCUUAACAGAGAAACUGAGAGAAUAUCAUCAAAGACUGCUCUUUUUUGAGUGCCUUAGGUUCUCAUCUGUUUGUGACAACACAAAUCCAAUAUGCCAUAAGCAUGUUGAAAUGUUCUGGCCUUUACAGUUUUCCCAGCCUGAGUUAUACUCUCAAAUGUACGUAGAACCCCUAUCGAGCACAGAAACGUCAGCUAUAAGAAAGGAAAUAUGAGGUGCUGGCUCUUACCCAUACUCUGGCACUUCAGUUAUUCAAGGAUGCACACGGUGAUCCAGCUCAAUAGUUCUCUGCUACAGUCUGAUGUUCACGGUUUGUGAGGACAUGAACUGUUUACAUUCAUUUUUUAGCAAACACUGAUCUGCUCUCCUGUUAAAUGGGAAGACUUCAUUUAUGGAAUAGUACUCCUGAAGAGCCAAGGUUUGGUGUUCAUGAAAAUUAUCAGGAUUUUCACCCAGAUGGAAAACUCUUUCAGCCUUAUCCUCAGAUGCACAACUCAGAUGCACCAUAAACAGUUCUGAGGAUCUUCAAAUUUCAUCCUGAAUAAAAGAAGCAGAAAACAAUAAUUGCAGCCAUAGGAGUGGAUUUGCUAUCAUUUAGAAUAAAUUAACCCAAGAUGCAGAACCUUUUGGUACUCAGAAAUCUUUACACUUCUAUGUCAUUAUGGUGGAUCUUGGCAAAUACCAUCCACAGUGGUAAAGAACAGAGGUGCAGCUUGACAGUAGAGUAACGCCCACUUCGAAGGGAUGCCAUUUUUCAAUAGAGGUCAAAGGAAAAGAAGGAGAAUAUGGGUGGAUUUUGAUAUUUUCAGUAUUCAUGCCUAAGACAUUUUUCCAGUUAAGAAUCAGUUACAUUUUAUUACAUCUAUAUCUUUGACUUAACUGCAGAGCUAUCAUUGGUCUUACCUUAGAAACACUAUUUUAAAACCAGUGCAUACAGAACAAAUACACUUAACUGUUGUGUGUGUGUUUAAAUGGAAACAAAUUUUCAUGUCAAUGUUUUUGGCAUAUCAAAAAUAUUAAGAAAAAAAUUCUUCCUUCUUCUCUCCCUUCCUCCCUUCCUUCUUUCUCUACUCUCAAUAUUUCUACAAAAAUUGUGACUGCUUCUAUUUUUGCUACUCCACAAAACAUGUAUAAAAAAGGAUAAGAAAAUCUCAUCUGGAGACAUCAUCUCAUUAAAUAAAAAAGGUUAAAAUAAAUAAAUGAGAUUAUAAGGAGAGACAUAAGCGAAGGCAAAGAAAAGCAAAGGAAGGAGACGAAAAAGCAGACAUGAAAAACAUGCCAGUGAGAUGGAAGGCAUGUUCUGUAGAAUGAAUGAGUAGCUGAAAUAACUUAAUUGUUAAUAGGUCCAAGUAUGUAUGAAAACAGUUAGGAAUUCAUUUUCCAACCAGUUUUCUAAGCAUGCUACAAUGAAGAGCGCUUUUCAUAAAUUUAAAUUCUAAUCAGUCUUCUAGCACUUUUCACAUUAAGUCAUUCCCCUUGUUUUAUGAACAGGAUUUGAAGAACUAGAGAAUUCAAAUAGGAAAUGCUCACAUUAAUUUACUGAUCUUUGCUGACAAUUUGAUUAUCUUCCAAUCACCAGACUAAUCUUUUCAGUACACAGAUGAGUAAUUCAAUGCCAAGUUUAGUGCAGCCAAAAUGAUAGCAAACACGUUAAUAAACAAGGCUGUAGUUAUUUCAGAACUGAUGACCCAAAUAAUAUGAAAGUUGAGAGAGGGUACAAUAUGUUAAAGAAUCUUAUUUUUUAACCAAUUUUGAUAGCUAAGACAAUCUAAAGUAAUACCAGUACACUAAGUAGUUAGUGUUAACAUUUUUUCAGUAGCACUGAGAGAAAUUAGACAUCUAGCUACCAGUUAAGUAAUUGGUUCCUUUCACAACUGCAACUUCACUUUCCUAAAACAGGAACAAAAUGAACCCGGAACAGAUAUCUGAAAAAUAGUUCAGCCUUUCCUAACAGGAAGAACUACUGCUUCACACUGUGCACAUGCAAUCUCUUGAUAGGAAAAGAAAUACAGACAGAAAUAAAUAGGAAAGCAGAAUACUCCAAAGAGGAAAACCUGUGUUAGUUCUUUAGCAGUCACUUACCUUCCUCCAGAGUGCAAGAUGUGUGGAGGAAUGUGGUUCAGUACAUGAUGAUGGCACACACAGGAUAAGCAACACAGAGAUACACAUGUAAAUGGAAAAGAAAGGAAAUAACCACUUCUAUGCAGCUCUUGCAAAACUUGGAAUACGGUCAAAUAUGGAAAUGCAGAAGGGAAAUGUGCUUGGCCAUGCUAGAAGGUAAAUGCAGUAGAACAGUUCAGGAGUAAGGUCAGCUGGAAAAUGUUUGGCUUCGCUAAGCAGAGUUGAAUUUGACUUCAGAAUUACGGAAUUGUAAUUAUAUUCACCUACAUACAUGGCAUGAUCUAUGUGAAGCAGAGUAGUUGUAAAAUGAACCUAAAGGUUUAGAAAAUAAAACUGACCAUUUUUAGCUGGUGAGGAUCUCAGGAUGAAACUUUGUAGUAGCCUGUAAACAUUAGAAAGAAAAAGAUAUAUAUGGAAAUUUGUCCUUCUUUAUUGCUUGUUAACUCUUUAUGUUUCCUCCACAGGGUUGUGGUACUAAUGCAUGAUGCUAUGAAAACAAAAUGGUAAAGCUUAUAACAAAGUUUCUAAAUUUCAGGUGGGAUAGGUGCCAUUGCAGUCUCUACUGUAUAUAUCUGCCAUUAAAAUAAAAGCAAAAAACAAACAAACAGAAAACAAAACAAACAAAAAAUCCACCCACAAAACAAACAAAACAAAACAAAACAAAACAAAAAACCAAAAAACACCUGUUAUUAAGAAAAAAGUCAAUAGAUUUUAAGUCCCAGAGACUAUGUUCUGCUAAAACUAAAAUACUGGAAACUGGAAACAUUCAGCUCAAUUCUCUAAUCAAUCUUGGAUAUAUGAGGGCUGCUGUGAAAGUAAUGCCUCUUAUUUUAUUACGUUGGCCCCACAGCAUCAAAAGUGGAUGUUGGUGGCAUGGCAGUAGAGGUUGAAUCUUCCCACCAAUAUUCUGUUAUAUUUUGUUGUCGUGUGACAGAUGGCAGCAGAGGGCUGUCUGACAAAACGGUGUCUGACAUGGAGGUGUGUAUGAAGCAAAGAUGUGUCGUUUAUUUCAUCCAUGUGGAAAAAUAUUGCAUCCACUGACUUUAUCAAAACUUGCUGAAUGUUUAUGGAGACCAAACAGUGGAUGUGAGCACAGUGUGGUAAUAGGUGGUGUGUUUAGCAGUGGAGACAUUGACAGUGGUCACCUCCACUGUAAGCAGUGGUCACCUCCACCUGUAAGCAUGGUUUACAGGUCCUUGUUCAUUGAUGGUGGAAAAUGCAGAGCUAAUGGUGGUAACUGUAUCGAAAAACAGUGUUAAUAGAGAAUUUGCUCUAUAAAGUAGUGUUACUGUACUCUUUUUAUCUGUUGUAUUUUCCAUGAAAAUAAAUAAGAAACAUUAUUUUUGGAGCAACGUAUGUAUGUGGCAGGGGGUGUGUGCACAGGGGGGUAGUUUCAACAUGCACAUGCAACUCAGUACUUGUUGAAACUAUUGAUUGUUAAGAACAAUAAAGAUGGAUGGGGCCAGAUAUUUUAUUAUGACCAAGAUACUGAGGCUGGAUGUCAGGAUUCUCUGUGGAUGCAACUUGAAAUCUGCCAUUGAGCCUUUUGAGCUCUAUUCCCUUCUGUAGUAGCAAUUCUAUAAGAGCUGAUAUAAUAUAUGCCAGACUCUGAGGGAUGUAGAGCUGUUUAAAAUUGUAGCCUAAGAUCAAAGUGAUGCUGUUGCAGCCGCACACCCUGUUUUUCAUCUUCACACCAUUUCCCCUGUCAGCAAUAGAGACACCAAAUGUAUUAAGAACUUCUAUUCCACCAGGAGAUCACUGUUCCUCUUAGAUCACUCUUAGAUACUUCUUCCCCUCCCUAAUUAUUUGGCCUUUAAACUAGAUGACAUUGAUAGUUCAGAGAGAAACCAGUGUACUGCAGAACUUAGUUUGUUCUAUUUCUCACUUUUAUCUGACUGCAUAUUCUUUAUUUUUAUCUCAGUUUCUAAAAGAAUGUGUUAAAACAUUCCAACACCUUACAUGUACUAGUGAUGCUGAAUACAAAAUGUGAGUUGUGGAUAAUGAAAGGUAACAUUAGAUUUUGAUCACCAUGCUAUAAAACUUUAGUUCUCAUUGCUUUUAUAUGAUGAAUUGAAACAAAUGUAAUCACAUAUAUUUAAAUGUGAAUAAUCUAAUAAAUUCUCA
ensembl:lncRNA